GAUGAACGCUGGCGGCGUGCCUAAUACAUGCAAGUCGAGCGAACAGACGAGGAGCUUGCUCCUCUGACGUUAGCGGCGGACGGGUGAGUAACACGUGGAUAACCUACCUAUAAGACUGGGAUAACUUCGGGAAACCGGCGCUAAUACCGGAUAAUAUAUUGAACCGCAUGGUUCAAUAGUGAAAGACGGUUUUGCUGUCACUUAUAGAUGGAUCCGCGCCGCAUUAGCUAGUUGGUAAGGUAACGGCUUACCAAGGCAACGAUGCGUAGCCGACCUGAGAGGGUGAUAGGCCACACUGGAACUGAGACACGGUCCAGACGCCUAAGGGAGGCAGCAGUAGGGAAUCUUCCGCAAAGGGCGAAAGCCUGACGGAGCAACGCCGCGUGAGUGAUGAAGGUCUUCGGAUCGUAAAACUCUGUUAUUAGGGAAGAACAAAUGUGGAAGUAACUAUGCACGUCUUGACGGUACCUAAUCAGAAAGCCACGGCUAACUACGUG
rnacentral:rRNA from 1 species